ensembl:lncRNA
CUCUGGUAUCACAUGUAUGUGCAUGUGGGCUUGGUGUGAUGCUCAGAUGCUGGAGCACCUCUCCUGUGAGGAAAGGUUGAGGGAACUGGGCUUGUUUGGCUUGGAGAAGAGAAGGCUCCGGGGAGACCUCAUUGCGGCCUUCCAGUACUUGAAGGGAGUGUAUAAACAGGAGGGGGAAUGGCUGUUUACAAGGGUGGGUAGUGGUAGGACAAGGGGGAAUGGUUUUAAACUGAGACAGGGGAGGUUUAGGUUGGAUAUUAGGAAGCAGUUUUUCACCCAGAGGGUGGUGACGCAGUGGAACAGGUUGCCCAAGGAGGCUGUGGAUGCCCCAUCCCUGGAGGCAUUCAAGGCCAGGCUGGAUGUGGCUCUGGGCAGCCUGGUCUGCUGGUUGGCGACCGUGCACAUAGCAGGGGGUUGGAACUGGAUGAGCAUUGCGGGCCUUUUCAACCCAGGCCGUUCUAGGAUUCUGUCAUUCUAUGAUUCAAAGCUUGCUAGCACGUGACCCAGCAGAAAGAUGAAUUCCCUGCCCCAAAGAGCCCAGGGCUGCUCCCAGCUUGAAGUGCUGCUCUGGGUGUGUAAGAAGAAUCUGAAGGCCACAAACAAUAAAAGAAGAACAAAGCAGGAGGGGGGGGAAGGGAAAUGGUUAACACCAUAAAAUCUGACGGUGCAGCAGAAAGCAAAGAGCUUUAUGCAACACUGACUUUGAAAUACCUGUUUUUAUUUAACUGCCUGUGCAAAUCCCUCUGCGAUCCGCCGCUGUGCUCCAUUCUGUGGCCAGUCGCCACCGUGCCCACUAAUGUCUUGGUUACAAAAC